rnacentral:SRP_RNA from 1 species
GCCGGGUGUGGUGGCUCACGCCUGUAAUCCCAGCACUUUGGGAGGCCGAGGUGGGUGGAUUGCCUGAGGUCAGGAGAUGGAGACCAUCCUGGCCAACAUGGUGAAACCCCAUCUCUA